rnacentral:rRNA from 1 species
GUUUUGAUCCGUAGAUACCCGAAUGAGGAAACUCCGUGAACUUCUUUCUGAAUUUAUAGGAAAGAAAGAGCAAACCUAGCGAACUGAAACAUCUUAGUAGCUAGAGGAAAAGAAAGCAAAAGCGAUUCCCUGAGUAGCGGCGAGCGAAACGGGAACAGCCUAAACUACCUGUUUUCAGGUAGGGUCGUGGGACAGUAACAAAGAACUUG